rnacentral:lncRNA from 1 species
AAAAAAUCUGAGGCUGUAUCAUCUAUGAAGGAAAGAAGCUGUUCCUGCUCAUAGUUCUUCAGGUCUAUGCAGGAUGCCAGCCGCUCCUCAGCUCUGGUGAGGGUCUCAUGGAGAACAACACAAGGAUGCGCCAGAAAUGUGUCCACGAGAGGUCACAUGGUAACCUUGCAGGUGUCCAGAUGGGAGGGCGAGCAGAACCACUCAACACUCAGGUGGACGUCCAUACUCAGUGGUGGAUCCAGGAACUUCAGAACAGGUAAGUGACUUUGAGAGCCCCUGCAGUAGUUUGGACAUGGUUGAAAAGUAAACAGAUGCAGCUGUCCAAAACAGAAGAAAAGAGAUUCUCCUCUGACAAUUGUUAGAUGUCAUCUCUUGGAUGUCUUCAUCCCUGGAAAAAGUAAUAGUCUAUAAGAAACUACUCGAUCUCAGCUCAUCUAAUCAGAUAGAAGCCAAACUACACUGAGGAGCCAUUCUCUCACCUCAUCAAUCUUGCACAAGAAUGAUUUAAUUGUCUCCUCAAUGUAUGUCAUUCAUGGGAAAAAUUCUGUGUUCAAUAACAUCAGCUGCAGAAGCUGGGAGUCCUAUUAAAG